AAAUAACUUUUUCAACAAUAUCUAGUGAUGGGCGAAUUCAAAACAAUGCUUCAUGAAGCUUCGAAGCUUUACGAAUCUUUUGUUUCUAAUCAGUGGUUCGGAGCGCCAAAGUCACAUGAUUUCAGUAAACGAGGCAUCGUUACGUCAUAAGUCUUUUGAAAUUUCAGUGGUUCACGUGACUUUGGCAGUUUGAUUCACGCUCUGAACCAUUGAUUCAAAACAAAAGAUUCAUAAAGCUUCGAAGCUUCAUGAAGCAGUGUUUUGAAAUCGCCCAUCACUAGAUAUCGUUUAAUAAAGUCGUUUUGUUUUUCUGCACAAAAAGUAUUCGGGUCGCUUCACAACAUUAAGGUUGAACCACUGUAGUCACGUUGACCGUUUUAUCGAUGUCUUUAAUGCCUUUCUGGACCUCAAAAGAUACAGUGUCAUGGCUGCCUACGUGUGGAUCAGAUACCCUCGGAUUUCAUCAAAAAUAUCUUAAUUUGCAUUCUGAGGACAAACAAAGCUCUUACGGGUUUGGGACAACAUGAGGGUGAGUAAUUAAUGACAGCAAAAAAAAUAAUUUUUGGGUGAACUAACCCUUUAAUAAAGUGAGAUUAAAUACAUAAAGUAUUUUACAUUUGUGUAAUUUAAUAUAGUUAAUACAGGUUUGUGUAAAAUUCUGAGAAUGUAUUUCACUGGUUUUAUUAUGUCACAAACAUUAUGUCACAAAAGUGCGGACUCAUAAGAAGACCGUGAGUGUUUAGGGUGCCAUUUGGGACAAGGCCAAAGACAGUGAGGAAAAUUGUUAUUGUAACCACUGAAAAAAAAUAAUAUAUAGAAUAAUCUUUUUAAGGCUAAACAUUUGAACUCAUUCAUUUAAUUUACAUCUAUUAUGAGAUGUCAGGUAUACAAGAAAAAAAUGAUUACAAAAACUUUGGUGGUCAAAGUAAUACAUUAUAAAAUUAAUUAAAUGAGUUGGUGGUUGUAUAUUUACAUUGGCUUCCAAACAAAUCUAGAAUCUGCAGACUUUAGAUUUUCUACACUGACUUUGAAGGGAAAAUCUGUGGAAUGGAUUUAAACACAGUAAAAUGUAUUAAAUGCAGCUUUGAGCAUAAAAUACUUGUGCUGAUGAAUAUGUAAAGGUCAGGAAAUGUGUAGAAUGGCAGAUUCUGUGAGGUACUGUUUGUAACGUGACAAAGUUUUUGUACUCAUCAGAUUUGUUCAGUUCUCCUAGACUAGAGACUAGCUCAGAUGCAAACACCCUUGAACAAGCUAACAAAGUUCUUCAGGAUUACUUGAAAAUUACAGACAGGUGAGUUUGAUCAGGGUUGGAACUGAAGUCUUGAGGCAGUAGACCUCAAGGAAGAGAAUCGAAGAACCCUGUAAUAUAUCAAUGUCCUUUCUGUAUGUUCAUCCAACAAGAUUUAGCCAGUCUGAGGGCUGGAAAUUUCUUCAGACUGGACAGUUCUCAUCACAUUGUUUUUCAUGUUAAUUUAAUCAGCUCUACUGAAAC